AUUGAACGCUGGCGGCAGGCCUAACACAUGCAAGUCGAGCGGCAGCACGGGGAGCUUGCUCCCUGGUGGCGAGCGGCGGACGGGUGAGUAAUGCGUAGGUAACCUACCUCAUAGUGGGGGAUAACUAUUGGAAACGAUAGCUAAUACCGCAUGACAAUAGGGUACACAUGUACCCUAUUUAAAAGGGGCAAAUGCUUCACUAUGAGAUGGACCUGCGUUGUAUUAGCUAGUUGGUAAGGUAACGGCUUACCAAGGCGACGAUACAUAGCCGACCCGAGAGGGUGAUCGGCCACACUGGGACUGAGACACGGCCCAG
rnacentral:rRNA from 1 species